rnacentral:rRNA from 1 species
UCAGUCGACUCCUACGGGGAGGCAGCAGUGGGGAAUUUUGGGACAAUGGGCGCAAGCCUGAUCCAGCCAUGCCGCGUGCAGGAAGAAGGCCUUCGGUUGUAAACUGCUUUGUCAGGGAGAAAUCCUCUGGGUUAAUACCUCGGAGGGAUGACGGUACCUGAAGAAUAAGCACCGGCUAACUACGUGCCAGCAGCCGCGGUAAUACGUAGGGUGCGAGCGUUAAUCGGAAUUACUGGGGCGUAAAGCGUGCGCAGGCGGCUUUGCAAGACAGAUGUGAAAUCCCCGGGCUCAACCUGGGAACUGCAUUUGUGACUGCAAGGCUAGAGUGCGGCAGAGGGAGAUGGAAUUCCGCGUGUAGCAGUGAAAUGCGUAGAUAUGCGGAGGAACACCGAUGGCGAAGGCAAUCUCCUGGGCCUGCACUGACGCUCAUGCACGAAAGCGUGGGGAGCAAACAGGAUUAGAUACCCUGGUAG